UGUGUGUGUGUGUGUGUGGAUGUACUCUUUAUGAGCUUUUGUAAGUUGUAUGGUAUUCGAUGAAUGUACGUUAUCGAAUGAAAUAUCUUGGGAGAGAUA